GCUGGGCACAGUGGCACGUGCCUGUAGUCCCAGCUACUCGGGAGGCUGAGGUGGGAGGAUAGCUUGAGCCCCGGAGUUCUGGGCUGUAGUGCACUUAUGCCAUUGGGUGUCCGCACUAAGUUUGGCAUCAACAUGGUGACCUCCCGGGAGCAGGGUACCACCAGGUUGCCUAAGGAGGGGUGAACCGGCCCAGGUUGGAAACUGAGCAGGUCAAAACUCCAGUGCCGAUCAGUAGUGGGAUCGCACCUGUGAAUAGCCACUGCACUCCAGCCUGGGCAACAUAGCGAGACCCCAUCUCU
rnacentral:SRP_RNA from 1 species